GUGGUCAGUGAGAGGAAGGGGAGGGCAGGGGGCCUAACCUAUAUAGACAGAGGGAAUACUCUCUCUCUCUCUCUCUCUCUCUCUCUCUCUCUCUCCCUCUAUAAAAUGCAUACUUAAGCAGUGUCACAACAAGUCAGUAGCGAACAAAGAACUAUUUUCCAAUAAGGAAUGGAGUGGAGUGGAGUGGAGUAGAGUGCAGUGUAGCAUAGGAAUGGGACAUGGUUAGUCUUUGUGUUAUGUUCCAGUUCCUAAAUGACUUCACUCACGACCACCGAAGUUUAACCAGAGCACAUACUGCUGCCUUACAACAGAGUAAAUAGACAGAGAGAUGGAAUAUAGAGGAGAGAGUGAGUGAAAGGGGACAGAGGGGCAGUGAGAGAGUAAAAGUGGGAGAAGAGGGAGAGAACAGACAGUUCUCUCAUUUUAAUUACUCCCUUAUUUGUGCCGGGAGGCAGACAAACAUUCUUCAGCCCCAUGGAAAAGACCAGCUGAGCCAGGAGAGACAGAAAGGAAAAGAGUGAUAGAGGAUUCAGUAAAAAGAAAAAGAGAAAAGUUCCGAGUUUUAGAAAGAGAAAGCAGCAGAGGAGGGGAGAGAGAGGAGUGAGAGCAAGAGAGAUGAGAUCUGUUUAGCUGACAGAGCUGUGGAAGUGGCAGUGUGCAGCUCCAGUUUCCUCCAGAUAGACACAGUGGGAUAGUCCUCUGAACGUCUCUCCAUCAUGACUGCUUCUCUCGAUUCCCGAAGUUUCCUGGACAGUAGUAUGAACCAAACUCCAGCCUCGUCGAAUGGAGAGCUUUUCUGCUCGGAAGUGUCCUUCACUCCCGCCACCUGUCAGAGAAUGUUCGGAUCCAUGCACUCUGUAUCGUCAAGGAGCACCCUCCCACACACAAACAGCCAAACCCCACCUCCAGUGUGGCUGGACAAGACUCCUAUGUCCCUGUCCUCCCCAUUCCUCCCCCCUUCCUCUUCCUCUCUUUCUCCCCUCAGCCUCCUCAAUGCGCACAGAUCUCCCCUGGGGGCACAGAGGGACCUGGAGGGGUCUGGGGGCCAGAGCCGGGGUGAGAGGAACCAGGGUGCCCAAAGCCAGGGGGAUUUAGUCUCUCUGCUGGGGAAUGGACAUCUUGGUCUGGAGGACAGCCUGUUGGAAGCUGUGGAGGGGCUGGGGCCCCUGGAUCUAGGCCUGGGGCUUGGAGAGGGUGGACUGACAGGACUGCCACCCGUGCUGCCUGAGAAGAGGGUACCAGGGCUGGCUGGGUCCCGGUCCCCCUCUCUCAGUGGAUUAUCCAGCCCCCACAGUGGUAGUAGUCUCAGCAUCCCCUUCCCCUCAGCCAUGACCCCAGCCCCUUUCAGAGCACUCAGCCCUGGUGUUGGUGGAGGCCCUUUGCCUGGAUCAGACCCGUUUUCCAGUAAGCAGGACAGUGUGAAGUUUGUUCAGGACACGUCCAAAUUCUGGUACAAGCCUGACAUCUCCAGAGAUCAAGGUAAAUAUUGUUUCCAGAUAUUAGACGGGUGCUGCAAGAACUCUUUCUCUCUCUGUGUGUGUGUGUGUGUGUCUGUGUGUGUGUGUGUGUGUGUGUGUGUGUGUGUGUGUGUGUGUGUGUGUGUGUGUGUGUGUGUGUGUGUGUGUGUGUGUGUGUGUGUGUGUGUGUGUGUGUGUGUUGGCUUGGAUAUUUUCUUUUCACACUGUGGUUUCCAGCACAGUUCCAGCCAUUAUGCUAGAUGUGCAUUACACAUUGUGCAACCAGGCCAGAGCAGUACAGUUCGGCUUGGCUUGGCUCUGUUUGUCUCAGAAGUCUGA
ensembl:lncRNA